CCAGCCCACUGCCUACACACGACCAAAAGAUCAUGCUGCGCGGGGAACGAACAACCCGUGAGUGCGCUCUUUCGCGAGCUUUGUCACUUUCGUCCCGCCGAUAUUAGUUCGGCGGUCGUGUCAGCACGGACAUCAUGAGCAGGAUUGGUUGACCGCCAGGAAAAGAGUCUCUCGCGUUUGUUGGGUACCCUCUGGUCAGGGUUUAACACCGAUGCGAUAGUGCCCUGUGAAUCGGAGACACAUCUGCGGUCUUAAUUGUGCGCAGUCUGCGCUUCUUGUCCGAACAGGUGCGUUUUCCAGCGUGGUGAUUAGUGGCUUUGUCCAGGGCCGAACUAAGUCCAACAUCAUGGCUUCCUUGUUUUGCUGUCGCCAUAUCAGGCGGAAAACGCAAACUGUCAAACUUGCGUCAAUGUCCAAGCCUCUGGCAACUAUCGGGAAAUACAAGCCAUGGUUGCGGAGCCCAGUUAUACAAUCACUGCGUCCUGUGAAUUGAUGCAUGGUGAUCGGGUUCUAGUGCUACAAUCAUGGUAACUGCAUUCUGAUAACCCAUGAUUUGUCUUUGUCACAGCAACACUUCGCGUUCACUUGUUUUCAUCUGUGCCUACGAAGGAAUGUAGACGUGGACGAUUGGAACAGCUUUGUGUCAAAGGAUCGCUUACGCACGAUGUGGACCUUGGCCGCGCGACAAACCAGUAAAGCGAAGAGUGCAAUGCAUCACCGGGGAAUUCCGGAUUUUGUCAAUUUGGUUUGAGCUGAAAACAUUUUGCCAUUCCGUUCUUCAGCCUGGUGGCUUCUGCACAGGAUAUAACGUUCCGUUCUGUACCCUAGGCACCACA
rnacentral:lncRNA from 1 species